rnacentral:rRNA from 1 species
UACGUAGGGGGCAAGCGUUGUCCGGAAUCAUUGGGCGUAAAGCGCGUGUAGGCGGCUCGAUAAGUCUGCUGUGAAAGUCCAGGGCUCAACCCUGGGAUGCCGGUGGAUACUGUCGAGCUCGAGUCCGGAAGAGGCGAGUGGAAUUCCUGGUGUAGCGGUGAAAUGCGCAGAUAUCAGGAGGAACACUAGUGGCGAAGGCGAGACUCUGGACAGUUCCUGACGCUGAGGCACGAAGGCCAGGGGAGCAAACGGG